GAUUUUAAAUUAAAGAGGGUGAUUCGAUUGAAUACACAUGUAAUUUUCUAUAUCAAAAAUCCAGUUUUGAGUUAAACAUGUAAUUAAAGAGAUUGAUUCAAUUGAAUUUCCCAAAUAUGUAAUUGAUUUUACUAUGUGUUUAAGAUUGGAUCUUUGGGUUCCCUAUACACCAUCUUCUAGGGUUUAGAUUUCUAAUACUAAAAUGGAUUUAUUGGGUUCAAAAGGUAGAAGAAGAUCGAUGAAGUUUCUGGAAAAAAAUAAAGAAUGAGGAAUGAAGAUCGAUGAAGAAUGAAGAAGAAAGGAAGAAUGAGGGUGAAACUGUCAUUUUAUCCACCAAAAUAUGUCCAUCUCUAUAAAGACAAGUGAAAUGUGCUUUUUCUCAAAAAUUUUGGGCUGAAAUAUGCCCAAAUUUAUAAAAGCCACAUGAAAACUCUGUACAUGCUAUAAAACUAUUUGUGUAUUGUACAUAAUUUGUACAUAAUUUGUCCAUAAUAAUGUCCAUCGCAACAUGAAUCGGAUUCACGCCACUAACAAGAGACACCACUAAGUAAACAUUUUGAUCAGAACUUCCAACAACUAUUUUUGACAUAACUUCCAAUAACUAACCUAUGAAUUUCUAUCAGAAUUAAUACAAUAAUGGAAGAUAUUCUGUUAUUAAUAUAUUCUUAGGUGUAUCGUAUCUUUAGAUUUGCACAUAUCGUAUAUUUCCUAUUGUUAAGGAAAUAGCUUGGUUUUCAAGCUUUGUAUGUUUUGUAUAUAUAUUCUAGACCUUGUGGUCAAAAGCAAUACACAGAAAAUAUUCAAUCGAUCGACUCUUAUUUUAUCAUGGUAUCAGAGCCAGAUUGAUAUAUAUUUUAGCAAUAUUUUUUGGAAUGCAUAGUAAGCCGGGUGAUAUAUUGGCGGUGGUAAUUUGUUUGAUUAUAUUCGGAAAAAAUUAUGAAAACGUGUUUUUGUCUCAGAGGUUGAACAUAGCAGCUUAAAUUGAAGAAAUUUAUAUUUACCCAGAUGGAGCUUGUAGUCAAUACUACCAUUCAUAUCAUAUUGAACUCUUGGGGAUAUUUGAUAGCAUACUUCUCAUAAGCCUCAACCUGUCUUACAUCAGCAGUUUUAAACUCUUUCAGAACCUGAAUGUUCUCGAACCUGAAUGUUCUCAAUAUCCUAGGAUGUAUAAAUUCUCAAACUCAUAUCAACUACAAAUUAUAUUACGCCGGUGAAAUCAAUUUUUAUAUUGGUCAUAUUUUAUUUUUAAUAAAUUUCAUUUUAGUCUCAUAGCCUGGUACAAUCGAUUUUUAACCGGUUUUGGCCAAACUGUUUACAGAUCCAGUUUUCUUUCGACCUUUCAUAUGGUUUACUAAACAUUUUAUUGGCAAUCAAUGUUUAUUCUAUAUAAGUUCUAACUCUCCUAUAUUAUUAUACAUUGGUAUAACACAUUAGGAAUUUUUGAAAGAUUAAUUGAAUAAUUUUGUUAUUUUACCUAAUAUAACAAAAUUAAUAUGCACUAAAAAAUUAACGUAUUUCUGAGUAAAAUAAAUGUU
rnacentral:sRNA from 1 species